AGAGGUGAGAGGCUGAGUUAGUGA
rnacentral:piRNA from 1 species